GACGAACGCUGGCGGCGUGCCUAAUACAUGUAAGUAGAACGCUGAAGCGAGGAGCUUGCUCUUCUUGGAUGAGUUGCGAACGGGUGAGUAACGCGUAGGUAACCUGCCUUGUAGCGGGGGAUAACUAUUGGAAACGAUAGCUAAUACCGCAUAACAAUGGAUGAAACAUGUCAUUUAUUUGAAAGGGGCAAUUGCUCCACUACAAGAUGGACCUGCGUUGUAUUAGCUAGUAGGUGAGGUAAUGGCUCACCUAGGCGACGAUACAUAGCCGACCUGAGAGGGUGAUCGGCCACACUGGGACUGAGACACGGCCCAGACUCCUACGGGAGGCAGCAGUAGGGAAUCCUCGGCAAUGGGGGCAACCCUGACCGAGCAACGCCGCGUGAGUGAAGAAGGUUUUCGGAUCGUAAAGCUCUGUUGUAAGUCAAGAACGGGUGUGAGAGUGGAAAGUUCACACUGUGACGGUAGCUUACCAGAAAGAGACGGCUAACUACGUG
rnacentral:rRNA from 1 species